rnacentral:rRNA from 1 species
ACUGGGACUGAGACACGGCCCAGACUCCUACGGGAGGCAGCAGUAGGGAAUCUUCGGCAAUGGGGGCAACCCUGACCGAGCAACGCCGCGUGAGUGAAGAAGGUUUUCGGAUCGUAAAGCUCUGUUGUAAGUCAAGAACGAGUGUGAGAGUGGAAAGUUCACACUGUGACGGUAGCUUACCAGAAAGGGACGGCUAACUACGUGCCAGCAGCCGCGGUAAUACGUAGGUCCCGAGCGUUGUCCGGAUUUAUUGGGCGUAAAGCGAGCGCAGGCGGUUUGAUAAGUCUGAAGUUAAAGGCUGUGGCUCAACCAUAGUUCGCUUUGGAAACUGUCAAACUUGAGUGCAGAAGGGGAGAGUGGAAUUCCAUGUGUAGCGGUGAAAUGCGUAGAUAUAUGGAGGAACACCGGUGGCGAAAGCGGCUCUCUGGUCUGUAACUGACGCUGAGGCUCGAAAGCGUGGGGAGCGAACAGGAUUAGAUACCCUGGUAGUCCACGCCGUAAACGGUGGAUGCUGGAUGUGGGGCCCGUUCCACGGGUUCCGUGUCGGAGCUAACGCGUUAAGCAUCCCGCCUGGGGAGUACGGCCGCAAGGCUAAAACUCAAAGAAAUUGACGGGGGCCCGCACAAGCGGCGGAGCAUGCGGAUUAAUUCGAUGCAACGCGAAGAACCUUACCUGGGCUUGACAUGUUCCCGACAGCCGUAGAGAUAUGGCCUCCCUUCGGGGCGGGUUCACAGGUGGUGCAUGGUCGUCGUCAGCUCGUGUCGUGAGAUGUUGGGUUAAGUCCCGCAACGAGCGCAACCCUCGCCCUGUGUUGCCAGCACGUCAUGGUGGGAACUCACGGGGGACCGCCGGGGUCAACUCGGAGGAAGGUGGGGAUGACGUCAGAUCAUCAUGCCCCUUACGUCCAGGGCUUCACGCAUGCUACAAUGGCCGGUACAACGGGAUGCGACACGGCGACGUGGAGCGGAUCCCUGAAAACCGGUCUCAGUUCGGAUUGGAGUCUGCAACCCGACUCCAUGAAGGCGGAGUCGCUAGUAAUCGCGGAUCAGCAACGCCGCGGUGAAUGCGUUCCCGGGCCUUGUACACACCGCCCGUCAAGUCAUGAAAGUGGGCAGCACCCGAAGCCGGUGGCCUAACCCCUUGUGGGAUGGAGCCGUCUAAGGUGAGGCUCGUGAUUGGGACUAAGUCGUAACAAGGUAGCCGUACCGGAAGGUGCGGCUG